ACCUUUGUGUUGCAAUGGGUCAGUGCAUCUGGCUGUUAACCAGAAGACUGGUGAUUCAAGCCCACCUAGGGAUA